AUACGGAGGAUGCGAGCGUUAUCCGGAUUUAUUGGGUUUAAAGGGUGCGUAGGCUGUGCGUUAAGUCAGGGGUGAAAUGCCGUCGCUCAACGACGGAGCUGCCCUUGAUACUGGCGUGCUGGAGUACGGAUGCUGUGGGAGGAAUGUGUGGUGUAGCGGUGAAAUGCAUAGAUAUCACACAGAACACCGAUUGCGAAGGCAUCUCACAAAUCCGUGAUUGACGCUGAGGCACGAAAGUGUGGGGAUCAAACAGGAUUAGAUACCCUGGUAGUCCACACUGUAAACGAUGAUGACUCGCUGUCGGCGAUACACAGUCGGUGGCCAAGCGAAAGCGAUAAGUCAUCCACCUGGGGAGUACGACCGCAAGGUUGAAACUCAAAUGAAUUGACGGGG
rnacentral:rRNA from 1 species